GCAUGAGUUAUGUCAUGUUAUCGAUAUGUGAAUACAUAGCAUAUCAGAAGGCACACCCGGAGAACUGAAACAUCUUAGUACCCGGAGGAAGAGAAAGAAAAUUCGAUUCCCUUAGUAGCGGCGAGCGAAACGGGAAGAGCCCAAACCAACAAGCUUGCUUGUUGGGGUUGUAGGACACUCUAUACGGAGUUACAAAGGACGACAUUAGACGAAUCAUCUGGAAAGAUGAAUCAAAGAAGGUAAUAAUCCUGUAGUCGAAAAUGUUGUCUCUCUUGAGUGGAUCCUGAGUACGACGGAGCACGUGAAAUUCCGUCGGAAUCUGGGAGGACCAUCUCCUAAGGCUAAAUACUCUCUAGUGACCGAUAGUGAACCAGUACCGUGAGGGAAAGGUGAAAAGCACCCCGGAAGGGGAGUGAAAUAGAACCUGAAACCGUGUGCUUACAAGUAGUCAGAGCCCGUUAAUGGGUGAUGGCGUGCCUUUUGUAGAAUGAACCGGCGAGUUACGAUUUGAUGCAAGGUUAAGCAGUAAAUGUGGAGCCGUAGCGAAAGCGAGUCUGAAUAGGGCGUUUAGUAUUUGGUCGUAGACCCGAAACCAGGUGAUCUACCCUUGGUCAGGUUGAAGUUCAGGUAACACUGAAUGGAGGACCGAACCGACUUACGUUGAAAAGUGAGCGGAUGAACUGAGGGUAGCGGAGAAAUUCCAAUCGAACCUGGAGAUAGCUGGUUCUCUCCGAAAUAGCUUUAGGGCUAGCCUCAAGUGAUGAUUAUUGGAGGUAGAGCACUGUUUGGACGAGGGGCCCCUCUCGGGUUACCGAAUUCAGACAAACUCCGAAUGCCAAUUAAUUUAACUUGGGAGUCAGAACAUGGGUGAUAAGGUCCGUGUUCGAAAGGGAAACAGCCCAGACCACCAGCUAAGGUCCCAAAAUAUAUGUUAAGUGGAAAAGGAUGUGGCGUUGCCCAGACAACUAGGAUGUUGGCUUAGAAGCAGCCAUCAUUUAAAGAGUGCGUAAUAGCUCACUAGUCGAGUGACACUGCGCCGAAAAUGUACCGGGGCUAAACAUAUUACCGAAGCUGUGGAUUGUCCUUUGGACAAUGGUAGGAGAGCGUUCUAAGGGCGUUGAAGCAUGAUCGUAAGGACAUGUGGAGCGCUUAGAAGUGAGAAUGCCGGUGUGAGUAGCGAAAGACGGGUGAGAAUCCCGUCCACCGAUUGACUAAGGUUUCCAGAGGAAGGCUCGUCCGCUCUGGGUUAGUCGGGUCCUAAGCUGAGGCCGACAGGCGUAGGCGAUGGAUAACAGGUUGAUAUUCCUGUACCACCUAUAAUCGUUUUAAUCGAUGGGGGGACGCAGUAGGAUAGGCGAAGCGUGCGAUUGGAUUGCACGUCUAAGCAGUAAGGCUGAGUAUUAGGCAAAUCCGGUACUCGUUAAGGCUGAGCUGUGAUGGGGAGAAGACAUUGUGUCUUCGAGUCGUUGAUUUCACACUGCCGAGAAAAGCCUCUAGAUAGAAAAUAGGUGCCCGUACCGCAAACCGACACAGGUAGUCAAGAUGAGAAUUCUAAGGUGAGCGAGCGAACUCUCGUUAAGGAACUCGGCAAAAUGACCCCGUAACUUCGGGAGAAGGGGUGCUCUUUAGGGUUAACGCCCAGAAGAGCCGCAGUGAAUAGGCCCAAGCGACUGUUUAUCAAAAACACAGGUCUCUGCUAAACCGUAAGGUGAUGUAUAGGGGCUGACGCCUGCCCGGUGCUGGAAGGUUAAGAGGAGUGGUUAGCUUCUGCGAAGCUACGAAUCGAAGCCCCAGUAAACGGCGGCCGUAACUAUAACGGUCCUAAGGUAGCGAAAUUCCUUGUCGGGUAAGUUCCGACCCGCACGAAAGGCGUAACGAUUUGGGCACUGUCUCAACGAGAGACUCGGUGAAAUCAUAGUACCUGUGAAGAUGCAGGUUACCCGCGACAGGACGGAAAGACCCCGUGGAGCUUUACUGUAGCCUGAUAUUGAAAUUCGGCACAGCUUGUACAGGAUAGGUAGGAGCCUUUGAAACGUGAGCGCUAGCUUACGUGGAGGCGCUGGUGGGAUACUACCCUAGCUGUGUUGGCUUUCUAACCCGCACCACUUAUCGUGGUGGGAGACAGUGUCAGGCGGGCAGUUUGACUGGGGCGGUCGCCUCCUAAAAGGUAACGGAGGCGCUCAAAGGUUCCCUCAGAAUGGUUGGAAAUCAUUCAUAGAGUGUAAAGGCAUAAGGGAGCUUGACUGCGAGACCUACAAGUCGAGCAGGGUCGAAAGACGGACUUAGUGAUCCGGUGGUUCCGCAUGGAAGGGCCAUCGCUCAACGGAUAAAAGCUACCCCGGGGAUAACAGGCUUAUCUCCCCCAAGAGUUCACAUCGACGGGGAGGUUUGGCACCUCGAUGUCGGCUCAUCGCAUCCUGGGGCUGUAGUCGGUCCCAAGGGUUGGGCUGUUCGCCCAUUAAAGCGGUACGCGAGCUGGGUUCAGAACGUCGUGAGACAGUUCGGUCCCUAUCCGUCGUGGGCGUAGGAAAUUUGAGAGGAGCUGUCCUUAGUACGAGAGGACCGGGAUGGACAUACCUCUGGUGUACCAGUUGUCGUGCCAACGGCAUAGCUGGGUAGCUAUGUGUGGACGGGAUAAGUGCUGAAAGCAUCUAAGCAUGAAGCCCCCCUCAAGAUGAGAUUUCCCAACUUCGGUUAU
rnacentral:rRNA from 1 species